rnacentral:rRNA from 1 species
AAACUGACGGAACUCUUCGGAGGGAAGGCAGUGGAAUGAGCGGCGGACGGGUGAGUAACACGUAAGGAACCUGCCUCAAGGAUUGGGAUAACUCCGAGAAAUCGGAGCUAAUACCGGAUAGUUCAACGGACCGCAUGGUCCGCUGAUGAAAGGCGCUUCGGCGUCACCUUGAGAUGGCCUUGCGGUGCAUUAGCUAGUUGGUGGGGUAAUGGCCCACCAAGGCGACGAUGCAUAGCCGACCUGAGAGGGUGAUCGGCCACACUGGGACUGAGACACGGCCCAGACUCCUACGGGAGGCAGCAGUAGGGAAUCUUCCACAAUGGACGAAAGUCUGAUGGAGCAACGCCGCGUGAGUGAUGAAGGUUUUCGGAUCGUAAAACUCUGUUGUAAGGGAAGAACACGUACGAGAGGUAAUGCUCGUACCUUGACGGUACCUUACGAGAAAGCCACGGCUAACUACGUGCCAGCAGCCGCGGUAAUACGUAGGUGGCAAGCGUUGUCCGGAAUUAUUGGGCGUAAAGCGCGCGCAGGCGGCCUUUUAAGUCUGAUGUGAAAGCCCCCGGCUCAACCGGGGAGGGCCAUUGGAAACUGGAAGGCUUGAGUACAGAAGAGAAGAGUGGAAUUCCACGUGUAGCGGUGAAAUGCGUAGAGAUGUGGAGGAACACCAGUGGCGAAGGCGACUCUUUGGUCUGUAACUGACGCUGAGGCGCGAAAGCGUGGGGAGCAAACA